rnacentral:tRNA from 1 species
UCUUGUGUGGUUCAGUUGGUAGAGCAUGGCAUUUCCAAUGCCAGGGUUGUGGGUUCCAUUCCCAGUAAAAAUG